UCCAACUAUGAAAAGUUAAAGUGCGGCUUAUAUUUGCGAGCUUACGGAGGGCAAGCAGUGCCAGGAGAACAGCGAAGCGGCGCAAGCCCCGCUCCAUACUCCCCUAUCAUCUCCUGCAAGGCCAGGAAGGGAGAGAGAGCGAGGAAGGGGAAAGGCUGUUAGCAAUGCAGCGUGGCUCCUCACUCCCCCACCGCCCAGGCGCAGUCAGGAAGGGAGCAGCUUCUAUUCAGGUUCUCCAAGACUCCUCCAAGAUGUCCACUGUCAGCAUGGGAUUCACCCUGAAGGUGCCGAUGAUGCCAGACAUGGAACCAAUUUUCCUUCCUUUUCGUUUUCUAGUAUCAGCUGAUGACGUCAUGAUGUCUGGAGGAUUUGCUUCUGCUGCUUAAUUGGAUAUCCUAGAUGUUCUCAUGUUUAGAAGAGAAUGCAGUUUUAACGUCACUCAGAAUAUGGACCCUAGAAUAGCCCACGUUCCCCACCUUAAAGGAAAGCCCACAGCUGGAAACUGAAAUAACAAACCUGGAGAUGGUUCGUAAUCUCGGAGGCCAGCCAGGUCUCUGCGAUGACAGGGAUGCCAUCUUUUCUGACAUCCGUAGCCGCCCACACCUCAUCUUUGCUCUGUCCCACAUGACUCUUACCUUACAAAUUUUCCUUCUAGCUCUGCUGACUGUGUAUCUUCCCUCCAUUUGCGCCAAGCAGCCCUCAAGAGCUGCACAUCUUCCACUGAGGAUUCCCGUCUGGGGCCCUUUUUAGCCGGCUGGGCCAGGGCAAAGGGAAGGAUGAGAGGCAUUCCCUAUGCAACCGUGAGAUGAAUUUUUACAGAGAUCCUGGGAAGGCAGCUCAGUCUGCAGGACUGUAGGAGGGCCUGUUAAAUGGGGAGAAGGAGUUUGACCAGAAUGAGGGAUCAGAAAGGGGUGGCAGGCAGGACGCAGGCUUGUCACGGAGAAACAGGUGCCCCCUUUGCAGCUGGAAUCAGACAAAGCUGCCCAGAUGCACAGACAGCAGAAAAAUUGUUUUGCGAGUAUCAUCCUUAAAAGCCUGCCGGUGUGCGUGUCAACUGUCGGGACAUUUCCAUAGCUUCUGUUCAGUUAUGAACCUGCUCCCUUGCUCAUGUAUUCACUUCUAAGCUUGCGCUAAUAGCCUGAAUAAAGAUGCUUUUCUUCCUUC